rnacentral:miRNA from 1 species
UUAGGACGAAGUGCGAACGCUU